rnacentral:rRNA from 1 species
GAUGAACGCUGGCGGCGUGCCUAAUACAUGCAAGUCGAGCGAACAGACGAUGAGCUUGCUCCUUUGACGUUAGCGGCGGACGGGUGAGUAACACGUAGGUAACCUACCUAUAAGACUGGGAUAACUUCGUGAAACCGGAUCUGAUACCGGAGAAUAUUUCGAACCGCAUGGUUCGAUAGUGAAAGAUGGCUUUGCUAUCACUUAUAGAUGGACCUGCGCCGUAUUAGCUAGUUGGUAAGGUAACGGCUUACCAAGGCAACGAUCCGUAGCCGACCUGAGAGGGUGAUCGGCCACACUGGAACUGAGACACGGUCCAGACUCCUACGGGAGGCAGCAGUAGGGAAUAUUCCGCAAUGGGCGAAAGCCUGACGGAGCAACGCCGCGUGAGUGAUGAAGGUUUUCUGAUCGUAAAACUCUGUUAUUAGGGAAGAACAAACGUGUAAGUAACUGUGCACGUCUUGACGGUACCUAAUCAGAAAGCCACGGCUAACUACGUG